rnacentral:rRNA from 1 species
CACGCAGGCGGUCAGAUAAGUCAGAUGUGAAAGCCCCGGGCUCAACCUGGGAACUGCAUUUGAAACUGUCUGACUAGAGUCUUGUAGAGGGGGGUAGAAUUCCAGGUGUAGCGGUGAAAUGCGUAGAGAUCUGGAGGAAUACCGGUGGCGAAGGCGGCCCCCUGGACAAAGACUGACGCUCAGGUGCGAAAGCGUGGGGAGCAAACA